GACUUUCUUUUCCAUUUUUUGCAGGUAUAUCCAGAGCACAUGUGCCACCUCUGGGGAAGGACUUUACGAGGGACUGGACUGGCUGUCAAACAACAUUGCCAACAAGGUAGGAUCUUUGUGAUUGCCCAGCACAAGCCGAUCAUGCUGGCUUAUAUUUCAUUCACAUAAUGCUAAUAGUACAUUCUUGUGAUUCUUUUUGUUAUAACAGGCAUAAAAGAGACUAUAUUGGAUGAUUAUGAUAGCCUAAUUCUCAUCAAAGAGGAAAUUGUCUUUCAUUUUUCAGGCUUUUGUGUCUCACUAUCUUGAAAACUCAGUACUUUAAUCUCUUUAUUUUUUCCGUAGAAAUUUGUCAUUUCUGUCGUGUAGAUUUAUAUUCGAAAUUCUGUAAUUUCAGCAUUCUUGAA
rnacentral:lncRNA from 1 species